GGGCAGGACCAGUUAUAGAACUCCAACGUACAGCUCAGUGAGCAGUUGACGAAAUAACAGGUGUCUCCGUAUGUGCCGUUGUACACCUCCUCACCUGCGAAGGGAGACAGACCCACGAUCACACCGUCCAGAGGCAGGGCUAGCCGCUGGACCCUGCGGAGGUCCCCACAGAGGCCACCCAAGGGAAGCCGUGCCCUGGACACAGCCACCCUCGACGGCUGCCGCCUCCUGAGACGCUCCCACUGCGAUCUCAGCCCUGGCGCCUGACCCAUCGGUACAUGCCAGGGCCAGCCUCGGCCACCCGAGCACAGGAUGUGAACAGCCUGAGUACCUGCCCCACAGAGACAUCACACACCACCGUUUGUCCAAGCUGUCCAAUGGGAACAUCAGGAUACAUGGUGGCUCUGCAAGAGAUGUUAGCUGCCCAGCCUGGUCCACAGACGUCUCCAAUCAAUUCCAUAUCUCCACCUGAGACAUCGCACUGCACCUUCUGGCCUAGCUGCUCCAAGCUGAGGUGGGGAUCCUUGACCGACCUGCACUCGAUGUCCUCAGGGGCCCCGCAGACCCCAUCAAAUGUUUCUCGGUCGCCGCCGUCGCUGCCCCUGCUGGGGUGGUCCUCAUUGAUCCAGUCAGACCAGAGGCAGCACAGCUCUAGGGAAGCAAAACCAAGCUCUUGUCUUUCACACCUGGGGAGAGGCACCUCCAGGAAGCCACCAGGAUUCAGAGGACCCAGGGACCUCCAUGACCAUCCCCCAGCUGCAAUCUCUCUUUUCCCUGUCAUUGCCAAAAAACCAGAGUGCAGGGCCAGAGAGCUCAGGGCUGGACACCACUUCCAUCCUCAUUUUGCAACUGAAAACCUGAGCCCAAAGAGACGGGGCCACCCAGAGCCACACCUGGGUGUGAUGGACCCCUUCCUCAGCUAUUUUCAAUACUUUUUUUUCAAAGAAUCAAUAACAAGAGAGCUGCCCAUUCCAGUAAGGAAGUGUGACGGAAGGGGCUUUGUCUCCACUCUUAACCAGCAAUAUUGUCACCGACAGCCAAUCAGGUCUCACUUUAGCCCCUGGCCUCAGCAAACCAUGAAUGAAGUGGCCAAAAUACAUCCAUCUUUGGUCCGUAAGCAGAGGAGUCCAGCCCCGCCAGCCUCACAUCUGGGCCCUGAAGGAAGCAUCCUGCAGGUGAUUUUAUAAGACUUCGCUCCUCCCACCCUGCUUGUCAUCAUGAAUAUCAUCACCGUCACUUACUCGGAGUUGUUGAUAAAACUGCAAUAAAGCAGGAAGAAAAGAGGAUAUCA